ACUCGAGUUUAUUGGACAAGAAAUCUUGUUUGCACUACCCACCAGUCAAUUGCCAUUAGUCGCGGCCCGACACAAGUUGCCGAAACUUCUUUUGGCCUAGAAAAGUUGAAACUUUUUGCUUCAAUAAGCGGA
ensembl:ncRNA F28B4.6 ncRNA